GAUGAACGCUAGCGGCAGGCUUAAUACAUGCAAGUCGAGGGGCAGCACGGGUAGCAAUACCUGGUGGCGACCGGCAAACGGGUGAGGAACAUGUACGCAACCUUCCUUCAACAGGAGAAUAGCCCAUCGAAAGAUGGAUUAAUACUCCGUAACAUAAUGAGAUGGCAUCAUUUUAUUAUUAUAGCUUCGGCGGUUGAAGAUGGGCGUGCACCUGAUUAGAUAGUUGGUGAGGUAACGGCUCACCAAGUCAGCGAUCAGUAACUGGUGUGAGAGCACGACCAGUCACACGGGCACUGAGACACGGGCCCG
rnacentral:rRNA from 1 species